rnacentral:rRNA from 1 species
UGGGGAAUAUUGGACAAUGGGCGAAAGCCUGAUCCAGCCAUGCCGCGUGUGUGAAGAAGGUCUUCGGAUUGUAAAGCACUUUAAGUUGGGAGGAAGGGCAGUAAGCGAAUACCUUGCUGUUUUGACGUUACCGACAGAAUAAGCACCGGCUAACUCUGUGCCAGCAGCCGCGGUAAUACAGAGGGUGCAAGCGUUAAUCGGAAUUACUGGGCGUAAAGCGCGCGUAGGUGGUUCGUUAAGUUGAAUGUGAAAGCCCCGGGCUCAACCUGGGAACUGGAUCCAAAGCUGGCGAGCUAGAGGAGGGCAGAGGGUGGUGGAAUUUCCUGUGUAGCGGUGGAAUGCGUAGAUAUAAGAAGGAACGCCAGUAGGGAAGGCGACCACCUGGGCUCAUACUGAAACUGAGGUGCGAAAGCGUAGGGAGCAAACAGG